UGGGGGGACUGGUACCCGGGCCUCACGCAAGGAGAAGGCCACGCUCGUCCCCUCGCAAGGUAUUUCCAGCCCUCACGUUUUUCUAAAAACAGAAACUCUUAUCUGUUAAGAGCUCACAAAGCCCGGGCGGCCUGGGACCAGGCUGCCGCGACGCCCAUCAAUAAGGCAGUUUUCACAUUAGAGAAAUAACAGUUUCUCCGCGAAUUGUGGCACUCUUAAAAGAGGUUAAUUAAUAAACAGCAGCUGGAGCUGUUUAUCAUCGCUCCAACUUUCACUAAAAAAAAAAAAAGGCAAAACUAUCACUUAAACAAAGCCAUUGAAAACUCGGCGUCGUAUGUAGAUUUUUUAACAUAAAUAAAUCAUACCAACCAAGA